UGACCAAGCUCAGAAAGCAUGUGUCCAUCAUCAAUGGGGGAUAUCAUGUGGAUGUCGUGAUGUGAAAUCUGAUAUCGCAUCUUCCUACUCUCAGGUAGAGUCCCAGUAACUAUUAACUAUGUGUUUAUAAUUUCAGUAGGAUUACCUAGGGUACCCGUGCAUCAUCUGUUUCUUUAGAUUUUUAAACUAAAUCAGGAGCAUUUUGUAGGCGGUGGGUAAUAUUGUGAAUAGUGUGAUAUACUGCGCACGGUACUAAGCGGUUAUUUCGCUCUAGCUAUAACCAUUUUUCAAAAAUAUUUCGUAUCAUGACUAUUAAAGAUAUAUAUAGGAUCCAGAAUCAGUUGGAUCUUGGAGUUGAAGAAGUAAGAAGCCCAAGAAGUAAAUUGGCUAAGUAUUUUUCUUUUCUGCCGCGGUGAAGUACCUAUAUAUUAUGGUUGCAGAUUUUGAAUAUAUCAAGAAAAUUUUUUUUUGAUGGAUUUAUUAGCCUUUAAAGUUACUGGACAUGACGUUAAAUCCAGAAUUUCGUGCAACUUAAACGAAAGAAAACUGAUUUGCAAUUCCCGAUUUGAUGUCAUGUCCGGUAACUUUAACUUUUAAUUGUUAAAUGCAUCAAGACAUAAUUUUUUAAUAACAAAAAUUGCAAAAGUUUUUUAAUAUACCUUAAACUUUUGAUAUAUUCAAAAUCAGCAAUCAUGGCAAAGGCUGUUAAAUAGCUUAGCGCAUUUAGAUUUAGAUUCCGUAGACUGUCGGCAGCAUUUUUACUGUCGAUGUUAUCAUUAUAUUCUUACCAUCGCUUGGCGGAGUUGUACAAAUAAACAAAUAAGUUACUUAUAGUGCGGACUAAAAUCUAAAGUCAAAGAUGUUUUAAUUUAAUCAUCCACGGAAUCUAAAUGCGCACCGCUAAAUUAUCGUCCCGUUUUCUUAAAGUUCACUGAUUGACAUACAGUGACAGUUUCUUUCUAGUGUUUCCAUCUGCGCUGCUUACGGAAGAUCUUUCCAAAAUUUCAUUUUACUUUAUACGAGUUAGUAAAUUUCAAUUCAGAAUACUGUAAAACGAGUGGAAGUGGCGAAUGUGCAGUAUUCGACAUUUUGGAUCCAGGUUAUUUUCUCAUAAAUUUUUGGAGGACACUUAUUUUCCUUUUUUUAUUUUACCGAAAUUGUGAUGCGGUGAUGGAUGAAUUUGGAUGUGGUUACUCCUGUGAAACAUUGCUGUGAUCUACGGAGAUCUCGCUAAUGAUAUCACAAAUGGAGAAAUUAACCGUAUUUGCAUGAUGUUUGAUUCCUCAAAGCUUGCGGAUUGGAGAUGGUACUUUUUAUGAACGUACUCAACCAGAAAUAAAUUAUGAGCAGUUUCACGGAUGGAUUCGUUCUCGGUCCUCAUUAUUCCUACUAUUCAAUUAAGAAUGUGUCAUGAUUAAUUUCCCUGAUGGUUCUUUCUUUGUCUACAUUAUUCCUACUACUAGAAAUACAUGCAUGCAAAAUCCCCUCGCCUGAGGCCAUAAACAUAUAUUUCCAACAAGGUGAAAUUCUAUAAUACUCGUUUCCGCUGAAUAAUCGAAGUCGUAUAAGUAAAAUCCUAUAUCAAGUACAAUUAUAAAGUCGACUCUCGACCUAUCAAAUUCAACUAUAAUUCAAAGAGGUGUCAUACAUUUGUUGAUAUCGUAUUCCUGGGAUGCCUAUGAUUAAACUUACAAAAUACUUCCAUGCUUUAUAUACUUAAACACUUGCAACAUUUACCUGUACAAAAAUGCUUCGAAAUCGUAGAUUUUUUACCACCCAUUUGAAUCAAAGUUUUUUUGUAUCCGAAGGCAUCUUUUACAUCCUCUUUUUUUAAGUGCUCCUGGCAGAAAAAUUAGUUUUACAUUUUUAGAAUCUUUAUUAGCAGUUUAUAUUCUGUUCAAAAACUGAAUUGCAAUUGCGACUUUAGUUUAGAGUUACUACCACAACAUAGCAUUUGGCAAAAAAAAAACGCACAAAAGGGAUUGGUACAAAAUCAUUGAGGUGACGUCACAAUAGGAACCGCGGUUUCACUCAUUUAAAUUUCAAGCGUGUAUUAAUCACAUGUUGUUGUAAGAAAGGUGACGACGCAAAAAAGUCACGCAAGAAAACAUGCCGAAUAGAUGUUUUGUCGGGGGUUGCUCUAAUACCUCUAAUGCCAACAAAGGAAUUUCCCUUCAUUUUAUAUUUUUUCUGGCGACGAAAGGCCAGAAACAAAAAAGAGACGAAAGCAGUGGAUUGAUUUCGUGUGGUUAAAGCGGGCAAAAUGGGAUCCGACUCCCAAUGCGAGUAAUUGUUCAGCGCAUUUUGACAAGAAAGAUUUACCACAAAUGUUUUCUGGUUUCUCUGGUGAAGUACCGCGGUUAGCCACCGAUGAAAUUGACGUAGUCGCAGCCCCUAAGUAUCACGCAGUAACUGCAGAGACAGAGGUCAAACCUUCGUCUGCGAGAGCUAGGAGAAUGGUUGUAAAAGAAGCGUUGUCUGUUAAUGUUACCGCCCAAGGCGAAGAGCCGCAUUAACCUUGCCGCGAAGUAGGAAGCAGACCCAUUUGAACACACAAUGGAAAAUAUUGGAGAACAACUGCCAAAAAACGCAUCUCCGAACAAAACAAACAGCGUUUCAACUGGGACAGACGGUUGUGUUCGUUGUGCGUAUUUAAACGGAAGACUUGGAACAAGUAUAUAGCGCUUAAAAGCAAAUACGAUGAAUUGGUGAAAGUUAAACAUUCCAAAGGUGUUCAGUGCAAUAUACUAAAUGUGGAAGAACCAAGCCGUGCUGAAAUGCUCCUUACACUUCCCGAACCGGGCAGUGAAGAGACAGGAGAUGAUAUGGGCACCAGCGACGAGGAUUUCCAAUGCGGAGAUGAAAGUGAGUCUAAUCAGAAUUAGGAGACGAAGGCACAAGUAAUCCCACUGAGAACCUACGCUAGCAACCUAAAUACAUCAUUUUCCUGUAACAGUUGCUGUUGCUGUUUAAGUUUUGCCAUUAUGCAAAGCAGAUAACUCUCUUGUUGAAACCACGACGAAUGGAACCCUGCUAAAUUGUGAGGACAACUUGUGACAAUCCCGUUUGUAGCAAAAAAAACAACAUAUGGAGAAGUCAACCACUGAUGCCUACGACAAAAGUAAACGCUUGCGAUUUCCUGCUAAGUUUAGCUAUUCUUGUAUCUCCCACAAGUGCAUGUUUCGACACAUGGGACUUGUUGGAAUGUGCAAUGAAUCUUACUAUGGACACCAAAGGAAAAUAUUGUUUUCAACAAAAUAUUGUUUUCAACAAUCUUUCUUCACUGGGAAGAUUACCGAAGUAAGAUUCUGGAUUGGUUACAAGCAUUGGAAUCUUUGGUUAUUUCUGGUGAUGGACGGCAUAAUAGCAUGGGGCAUAUAGUGCAAAAUAUGGUGCUUACACAAUAUUUUGCUGUACGUCUGCUGAAAUAAUUGAUUUUAGUUCGAUCCAGAUGUAAACCUGGGCAUUUCCACCUUUAUCUCAGACAGACAUCAAACAAUAUCGAAAAACAUGAGAGAGAAACUACCAAAGAUAACACAUUAUUUCGACAUAUGGCACUUAAAAAAGAAGCUGCAUAAGGUCUUUACUAAGCUGGCUAAAGAGGCAGAUUGUGAAGAACUGGCAGAAUUAAUGGAUACAACCCUGUAUAAACCACCUUUACUGGAGUGCCACAUCCACUUACUCAAGAGAUGGCAGGAUUAUACUGGCAAGGUUAAUUCCUUGGUCAUAUUGUUGACAAACAUGAUGGGUUUGAUGAUGUGUUCAAUGUGUUCAUGGUGAACUGACUCCGAGAAAUGGAUUCUACCUGAUUCUCCAGCCUACACAAAACUAAGUGGUGCUAUGCUAAAGACGUCCUUUGGUAAGGGCAUUGAACAAGCUUUACCAUUAGACCAAACUAGUUGUUUGGAAGCUUUCCACUCUGUUGUCAAUCAGUUCUCCCCAAAAAUUGAAUGCUUAUUCAUUUGCUGGUAUAUACUGCAGACACAUCCUAACAGCAAUCCAUUUUAAUGCCAACUUAUGUCGUAAGACAAAACUCUAUGAAGAUGGUACACCACAGGUCAAGGUUUCUUAUCCGAAGUUAAGGGUGGUGAUGCCACUGUUAAAGAAAGCAAAGUAAAACAAAACUUUGAAUAUGUGGAAGAGAUAUAGUCAGACCUUUCUAAAAGCAUCGGGAGAUAGCUCAUUGAAAAAGCUUGGGAAAACACCUGCCCCCAUGAAUAUCGUGUUUGAAAACAAAGAAUCCAAAGAAACUGCCAUCAAAAAACAGAAGGCAAGAAAAAAUCUUGUUGUGGAAGAUGUUCCUCCAACAACACCAAUUUCAGUUGUUAUUGCUCAAGAAUAGGCAGCAAAGGCUGCUAAAGCAACCUCUGGCAGAGCAGCUUCAAGGUGUUUCUUGUGCAAGAAUUUGAUGAAAGGACACAAAGAAGUAAAGGAUUGUCCCAAAAAUCAAAAGCAAACACAGCAGUAAAACGAAAUCAGUUGAAGAAUAAAUGUACAUAUAGUUUUCUGAAAUAAUAUAUAAUGUGGAGUAUUAUAACAUAGCUAUAGCAUUAGUAAUAUAUAUAUACACAAAUUGUCAAGAUCUAUCCUCUUCUUCUACAAAUCCUACAAAGUCUUCAUUGUCUGUAGUUAGGAAAUGACGUCUUAUUCUUUCAUAUGCACGCGCACACUAUUUCCCUGUUUCCCAGAUGCCAAAAACGACCACACAAAACUUUUGUAGGCUGUGCUUCGAUAGAAUCUACAAAUAAUAGAGCAUGUUUAAUGGUACCAACAUGUCAGUACAGUGUGAUUGUGCAUUUAAAUUUCAUGUGUAUAAUGUACUUACUUAUCUUCUGUGCUUGUUUGGCGGUAUUGUUCUUUCUUCCUUGUGCGUAAUUUGGUUGCCGUUAAACGAAGCAACCACUUGUCUAAGCAUGCGCUGUUAAAUUAACCCAGGAAGGUCGACAAUGCAAGAUGGAGGGUUUUCCGUUUCCAGCUGCUGCAAUGCAAGCUCGCUAUUUAGCGCUUCUUCACACUCUUCGAUUUCUACGCAACACUGACAUCUUUAGCAUUGUGAAGGAGUUCAAUAGGACAGUUGCCACACUUAUACCUGGAAUAAAAUCUGUACCGACAAAGCAAAGACAGUUAACACGCAAAUAUAAAAGCGGGGAAAAUAUACCUUCUUUUCUUUGAUACCAUCAAUUAGGUCUCGGGUGAAAUUCCUUUAAACGCUCGUCAUAAGUUUUCUUUUUUUUCCAGGGAGUUAGCGAGCGACUCUGUCAGCCGCCGGUUCAUUUGCAUACGAACCAAGUUCUGAUGUUUCGUCUGUAGUUUGG